rnacentral:rRNA from 1 species
UACGUAGGGUGCAAGCGUUGUCCGGAAUUAUUGGGCGUAAAGAGCUCGUAGGCGGUCUGUCGCGUCGGCUGUGAAAACCCGGAGCUCAACUCCGGGCCUGCAGUCGAUACGGGCAGACUGGAGUUCGGCAGGGGAGACUGGAAUUCCUGGUGUAGCGGUGAAAUGCGCAGAUAUCAGGAGGAACACCGGUGGCGAAGGCGGGUCUCUGGGCCGAUACUGACGUGAGGAGCGAAAGCGUGGGGAGCGAACAGG